GACGAACGCUGGCGGCGUGCCUAAUACAUGCAAGUCGAGCGGUUUGAUGGAAGCUUGCUUCCUGAUAUCAGCGGCGGACGGGUGAGUAACACGUGGGCAACCUGCCUGUAAGACUGGGAUAACUCCGGGAAACCGGGGCUAAUACCGGAUAAUCCUUUUCCUCACAUGGGGGAAAGCUGAAAGACGGCUUCUCGCUGUCACUUACAGAUGGGCCCGCGGCGCAUUAGCUAGUUGGUGAGGUAAUGGCUCACCAAGGCAACGAUGCGUAGCCGACCUGAGAGGGUGAUCGGCCACACUGGGACUGAGACACGGCCCAGACACCUACGGGUGGCUG
rnacentral:rRNA from 1 species